rnacentral:rRNA from 1 species
CCCGUUAACGAACGAGACCUCGACCUGCUAAAUAGUUCGACAAAGUUUUUCUUUGGACGUGACUUCUUAGAGGGACUAUCGGUGUGUAGCCGACGGAAGUUCGAGGCAAUAACAGGUCUGUGAUGCCCUUCGAUGUUCUGGGCCGCACGCGCACUACACUGAUGCAUUCAUCGAGUUUACAACCUUGACUGAGAGGUCUGGGUAAUCUUUGCAACAUACAUCGUGCUGGGGAUAGAUUAUUGUAAUUAUUAAUCUUCAACGAGGAAUUCCUAGUAAACGCAAGUCAUCAACUUGCAUUGAUUACGUCCCUGCCCUUUGUACGCACCGCCCGUCGCUAGUACCGAUUGAAUGGCUCG